rnacentral:rRNA from 1 species
AUUGAACGCUGGCGGAAUGCUUUACACAUGCAAGUCGAACGGCAGCACGGGGGCAACCCUGGUGGCGAGUGGCGAACGGGUGAGUAAUACAUCGGAACGUGCCCAGUCGUGGGGGAUAACGUAGCGAAAGUUACGCUAAUACCGCAUACGAUCUCAGGAUGAAAGCGGGGGACCGUAAGGCCUCGCGCGAUUGGAGCGGCCGAUGUCAGAUUAGGUAGUUGGUGAGGUAAAGGCUCACUAAGCCUGCGAUCUGUAGCUGGUCUGAGAGGACUACCAGCCACACUGGGACUGAGACACGGCCCAGACUCCUACGGGAGGCAGCAGUGGGGAAUUUUGGACAAUGGGCGCAAGCCUGAUCCAGCCAUUCCGCGUGCAGGACGAAGGCCUUCGGGUUGUAAACUGCUUUUGUACGGAACGAAAAGCCUUGGGCUAAUACCCCGAGGUCAUGACGGUACCGUAAGAAUAAGCACCGGCUAACUACGUGCCAGCAGCCGCAGUAA